rnacentral:tRNA from 1 species
GCUCAUUUGGUAGAGCAUGGUGUGUGCAACACCAGGGUUGUGGGUUCGACUCCCAC